rnacentral:lncRNA from 1 species
AGGUAGCUCUUCUCAAAGGGAACGUACCCUUUGACUCCCAAAGAAAUAAUGCGUAAAUAGAAUCCUUUAUGCGUAAGCAGAAAGGUGAUUUAUGUAUUUCAUAUUGUAUGAAAAACAUUGAUAUGGGUUGUACCUAGAAAGGUACAAGACGAUAUCAGUGUAAGCCCAGGAUCAGAACCAUGGCAACUGUCAAGUAAGUCCUUAAGUAUUUAAGAAAUACUAAAGGAUAAAUUCCUCAAAGAAUGAGGAAGAAUCAGAGUAACGUAAUGGAAGCGUAAAUGUAUUAGAUUAUGAAUCUAAUCCAUCAUUGGAUGUUUCUUCAUUAUGAAUGAAGAGAUAAACGAAUAUCUCUUUAUCAUGACUAAAGAGAUAUUUGGAUGGAAACAUUAAAGUAAUGACUUUAGUGUGUUCCAUUAUGAAUGCAAAAUAUAUUGCCAUAUAGAAGCUUACAACAAUGUUGUUUGGAUGAGAAAGUUCAUUUAUGAACUCUCUAUUCGGUUCCAACCAGAAAGUGUAUCUAGUGUAUCGACACUAUGACACUAAUGGGGCGAUAGCUCAAGCCAAGGAAUCAAGGUCUCAUCAAGAUCCGAACUCAAAUGAGAGACUGAACCACAUGAUUGAGAAUCAUGUAUAAUG